rnacentral:rRNA from 1 species
AUUGAACGCUGGCGGCAUGCCUUACACAUGCAAGUCGAACGGCAGCACGGGAGCAAUCCUGGUGGCGAGUGGCGAACGGGUGAGUAAUAUAUCGGAACGUGCCCAGUCGUGGGGGAUAACGCAGCGAAAGCUGUGCUAAUACCGCAUACGAUCUACGAUGAAAGCGGGGGAUCGCAAGACCUCGCGCGACUGGAGCGGCCGGUAUCAGAUUAGCUAGUUGGUGAGGUAAAGGCUCACCAAGGCGACGAUCUGUAGCUGGUCUGAGAGGACGACCAGCCACAUUGGAACUGAGACACGGUCCAGACUCCUACGGGAGGCAGCAGUGGGGAAUUUUGGACAAUGGGCGCAAGCCUGAUCCAGCAAUGCCGCGUGCAGGAUGAAGGCCUUCGGGUUGUAAACUGCUUUUGUACGGAGCGAAACGGUCUUUCCUAAUACGAGAGGCUAAUGACGGUACCGUAAGAAUAAGCACCGGCUAACUACGUGCCAGCCGCCGCCGUAA